UCGAGAAUCUUUCGCAAUGGGCGAAAGCCUGACGAAGCGACGCCGUGUGUGUGAUGAAGGCCUUCGGGUUGUAAAGCACUUUCGCUUGGGAGCAAGAAAGGUCGGCUAAUAUCCGGCCAAUUUGACUGUACCAGGUAAAGAAGCACCGGCUAACUCCGUGCCAGCAGCUGCGGUAAUACGGAGGGUGCAAGCAUUAAUCGGAUUUAUUGGGCGUAAAGGGCGCGUAGGCGGAAAGAUAAGUCAGAUGUGAAAUCCUGGGGCUCAACCUCAGAACUGCAUUUGAAACUGUCUAUCUAGAGGGUAGGAGGAGAAAACGGAAUUCCACAAGUAGCGGUGAAAUGCGUAGAUAUGUGGAAGAACACCGGUGGCGAAGGCGGUUUUCUAUCUUAUUCCUGACGCUGAGGCGCGAAAGCAAGGGGAUCAAACAG
rnacentral:rRNA from 1 species